rnacentral:rRNA from 1 species
UACAGAGGGUGCGAGCGUUAAUCGGAAUUACUGGGCGUAAAGCGUGCGUAGACGGUAGCGUAAGUCAGAUGUGAAAGCCCCGGGCUCAACCUGGGAACUGCAUUUGAGACUGCUCUGCUCGGGUGCGGAAGAGGGAAGCGGAAUUUCAGGUGUAGCGGUGAAAUGCGUAGAUAUCGGAAGGAACACCAGUGGCGAAAGCGGCUUCCUGGUCCGACACCGACGUUCAGGCACGAAAGCGUGGGGAGCAAACAGG